rnacentral:rRNA from 1 species
CAUGCAAGUCGAGGGGAAACGAUAUUGGAAGCUUGUUUCCGAUAGGCGUCGACCGGCGCACGGGUGAGUAACGCGUAUCCAACCUGCCCACCACUUGGGGAUAACCUUGCGAAAGUAAGACUAAUACCCAAUGAUAUCUCUAGAAGACAUCUGAAAGAGAUUAAAGAUUUAUCGGUGAUGGAUGGGGAUGCGUCUGAUUAGCUUGUUGGCGGGGUAACGGCCCACCAAGGCGACGAUCAGUAGGGGUUCUGAGAGGAAGGUCCCCCACAUUGGAACUGAGACACGGUCCAAACUCCUACGGGAGGCCGCAGUGAGGAAUAUUGGUCAAUGGGCGAGAGCCUGAACCAGCCAAGUAGCGUGCAGGAUGACGGCCCUAUGGGUUGUAAACUGCUUUUAUAAGGGAAUAAAGUGAGCCUCGUGAGGCUUUUUGCAUGUACCUUAUGAAUAAGGACCGGCUAAUUCCGUGCCAGCAGCCGCGGUAAUACGGAAGGUCCGGGCGUUAUCCGGAUUUAUUGGGUUUAAAGGGAGCGUAGGCCGGAGAUUAAGCGUGUUGUGAAAUGUAGAUGCUCAACAUCUGCACUGCAGCGCGAACUGGUUUCCUUGAGUACGCACAAAGUGGGCGGAAUUCGUGGUGUAGCGGUGAAAUGCUUAGAUAUCACGAAGAACUCCGAUUGCGAAGGCAGCUCACUGGAGCGCAACUGACGCUGAAGCUCGAAAGUGCGGGUAUCGAACAGGAUUAGAUACCCUGGUAGUCCGCACGGUAAACGAUGGAUGCCCGCUGUUGGUCUGAAUAGGUCAGCGGCCAAGCGAAAGCAUUAAGCAUCCCACCUGGGGAGUACGCCGGCAACGGUGAAACUCAAAGGAAUUGACGGGGGCCCGCACAAGCGGAGGAACAUGUGGUUUAAUUCGAUGAUACGCGAGGAACCUUACC